rnacentral:rRNA from 1 species
GACGAACGCUGGCGGCGUGCUUAACACAUGCAAGUCGAACGGAAAGGCCCUGCUGUUGUGGGGUGCUCGAGUGGCGAACGGGUGAGUAACACGUGAGUAACCUGCCCUUGACUUUGGGAUAACUUCAGGAAACUGGGGCUAAUAACGGAUAGGAGCUCCUGCUGCAUGGUGGGGGUUGGAAAGUUUCGGCGGUUGGGGAUGGACUCGCGGCUUAUCAGCUUGUUGGUGGGGUAGUGGCUUACCAAGGCUUUGACGGGUAGCCGGCCUGAGAGGGUGACCGGCCACAUUGGGACUGAGAUACGGCCCAGACUCCUACGGGAGGCAGCAGUGGGGAAUAUUGCACAAUGGGCGGAAGCCUGAUGCAGCAACGCCGCGUGCGGGAUGACGGCCUUCGGGUUGUAAACCGCUUUCGCCUGUGACGAAGCGUGAGUGACGGUAAUGUGUAAAGAAGCACCGGCUAACUACGUG